AAAGAGUAGGAUAGUUCAACCUUUCAAACAUUACCUUAGGCAUGAUGUUGACACUUGCUCCAUGGUCACAAAGGGCCUGCUCGAUGUAAUAGUCACAUAUCGAACAACUUAUCGCCGGAUAUCUCGAAUCUUCCUUGCUUGUAGCUACUAGUUCAUCCUAUGUUUUUUUUCCUUAGUGUAUGGGCUUUUCCUACAUGGUUAGCAACAAAUGACCUCCGAGAUGGCUUACAC
rnacentral:lncRNA from 1 species